GAUGAACGCUGGCGGCGUGCCUAAUACAUGCAAGUCGAGCGAACGGACGAGAAGCUUGCUUUUCUGAUGUUAGCGGCGGACGGGUGAGUAACACGUGGAUAACCUACCUAUAAGACUGGGAUAACUUCGGGAAACCGGAGCUAAUACCGGAUAAUAUUUUGAACCGCAUGGUUCAAAAGUGAAAGACGGUCUUGCUGUCACGUAUAGAUGGAUCCGCGCUGCAUUAGCUAGUUGGUAAGGUAACGGCUUACCAAGGCAACGAUGCAUAGCCGAACUGAGAGGGUGAUCGGCCACACUGGAGCUGGACCACGGUCCAGGCUCCUACGGGAGGCAGCAGUAGGGAAUCGUCCGCAAUGGGCGAAAGCCUGACGGAGCAACGCCGCGUGAGUGAUGAAGGUCUUCGGAUCGUAAUACUCGGUUAUUAGUGAAGAACAUAUGUGUAAGUAACUGUGCACAUCGUGACGGUACCUAAUCAGAAAGCCACGGCUAACUACGUG
rnacentral:rRNA from 1 species